rnacentral:lncRNA from 1 species
CGCAUUCCAGUGACAUUUGACAAUGAGCAGACAGAAGAGGCAUUACACGCGUCUUUAGAAGAAUCAGGCUUCCUACCUUCAAGAGACAGAUGGAGGAGGCUCCAGAACUCUGAGGGAAAUCGUAAUGAGGGGAGAGCAGACACACCAACAACAGGGAUGUCUGCAAAGCAACACAUGUAGACUUUGCAAAGCAGAGAAAACCUGAAACGGAAACACAAGCAAACAGCAGGAACACAGACAAGAGGCUGUUUCAUUUUAAUAGGCAGAUUCUGUCUGAUACACUCAUCUGGAGACUUGUGGUCCAGUGACCAAGCCUGGUCAUCCAUCCAUCAGACCAGUGGAGACUGAGCUCAGAGGCUUUACCAGCUCCAGAAUCAAGACUCCGGAAUUACUGUAAUUCUGCCAUUUCCUCAUUGAGUGGCCCCUGGAUGCGGCUGAUAUUUCUUUAAAUA